ACUGGAACUGAGACACGGUCCAGACUCCUACGGGAGGCAGCAGUAAGGAAUAUUGCGCAAUGGGCGAAAGCCUGACGCAGCAACGCCGCGUGGAGGAUGACACUUUUCGGAGCGUAAACUCCUUUUGUUAGGGAAGAAUAAUGACGGUACCUAACGAAUAAGCACCGGCUAACUCCGUGCCAGCAGCCGCGGUAAUACGGGGGGUGCAAGCGUUACUCGGAAUCACUGGGCGUAAAGGACGCGUAGGCGGAUUAUCAAGUCUCUUGUGAAAUCUAGUGGCUUAACCACUAAACUGCUUGGGAAACUGGUAGUCUAGAGUAGGGGAGAGGUAGAUGGAAUUCUUGGUGUAGGGGUAAAAUCCGUAGAUAUCAAGAGGAAUACCCAUUGCGAAGGCGAUCUGCUGGAACCUAACUGACGCUGAGGCGUGAAAGCGUGGGUAGCAAACAGGAUUAGAUACCCUGGUAGUCCACGCCCUAAACUAUGUAUACUAGUUGUUGCUAAGCUAGUCUUGGCAGUAAUGCAGCUAACGCAUUAAGUGUACCGCCUGGGGAGUACGGUCGCAAGAUUAAAACUCAAAGGAAUAGACGGGGACCCGCACAAGCGGUGGAGCAUGUGGUUUAAUUCGAAGCUACGCGAAGAACCUUACCAGGUCUUGACAUCUUGCGCUAACCUAAGAGAUUAGGCGUUCCCUUCGGGGACACUAAGACAGGUGGUGCAUGGCUGUCGUCAGCUCGUGUCGUGAGAUGUUGGGUUAA
rnacentral:rRNA from 1 species